rnacentral:rRNA from 1 species
UACGUAGGGGGCAAGCGUUGUCCGGAUUUAUUGGGCGUAAAGAGCGUGUAGGCGGCCAGGUAGGUCUGGUGUGAAAACUCGAGGCUUAACCUCGAGAUGUCAUCGGAAACCAUCUGGCUAGAGUCCGGAAGAGGAGAGUGGAAUUCCUGGUGUAGCGGUGAAAAUGCGCAGAUAUCAGGAAGAACACCAAUGGCGAAAGCAGCUCUCUGGGGACGGUACUGACGCUGAGACGCGAAAAGCGUGGGGGAGCGAACAGG